rnacentral:rRNA from 1 species
AUAUCAGUCAUGCAUAGCAUAUCAAUAAGCGGAGGAAAAGAAACUAACAAGGAUUCCCUUAGUAACGGCGAGUGAAGCGGGAAGAGCUCAAAUUUGAAAUCUUCAAGGUUCUACCUUGACGAAUUGUAGUUUAUAGAAGUGUUUUCUGUUAGUGGAGUGGCAAAAGUUCUUUGGAAUAGGACAUCAUAGAGGGUGAGAAUCCCGUAUUUGGUCAUUCCUCCUAGCGUUGUGAUACACUUUCAACGAGUCGGAUUGUUUGGGAAUGCAGUCCAAAAUGGGUGGUAAAUUUCAUCUAAAGCUAAAUAUUGGCGAGAGACCGAUAGCGAACAAGUACCGUGAGGGAAAGAUGAAAAGAACUUUGAAAAGAGAGUUAAACAGUACGUGAAAUUGUCAAAAGGGAAGCGUUUGACACCAGUGUUGUUUUUCCGAAAAUCAAUUACGAAUGUUUUGUUUUUAAGAAGUUAUGACUUCAUCGGCUUGCUUCUUUCUUUACGAAACUUUCUUAAUGCACUUUUCGGUUAACAAGUCAACAUCAAUUUCUUUUGUUGUAAAAGGGUAUGAGGAAGGUGGCUUUCUUUUCGGAGAAAGUGUUUAUAGCCUUGUGCCUCUGCAAUCGGAGAGAUUGAGGUCUGCAGCGUAGAUCCUUCGGGGUUAGAUACGUUUGUGCUAAGUUAUAGCUUUUCAUAGACAACUUGUUGACUAUGUUUAGUCUUGUAGCUUACUCGCUGACGCUAUUUUACCUACGCUUAGGAUGUUAAUCUCUCACAGUCGAGC